rnacentral:rRNA from 1 species
AGAGUUUGAUCCUGGCUCAGGACGAACGCUGGCGGCGCGCUUAACACAUGCAAGUCGAGCGAUCGGCUGAGAGGGGGUAACCCCUCUCGGUACGGAGCGGCGAACGGGUGAGUAACACGUGAGGAACCUGCCCCGGGCACCGGGAUAACGGCGGGAAACCGCCGCUAACACCGGAUAAUCUCCUCCAACCGCAUGGCGGGAGGAGAAAAAGCCUGCUGGCCCGGGAUGGUCUCGCGGCCCAUCAGCUUGUUGGCGGGGUAACGGCCCACCAAGGCAGCGACGGGUAGCUGGUGUGAGAGCAUGACCAGCCACACUGGGACUGAGACACGGCCCAGACUCCUACGGGAGGCAGCAGUGGGGAAUCUUGCGCAAUGGGCGAAAGCCUGACGCAGCGACGCCGCGUGAGGGAUGAAGGCCUUCGGGUUGUAAACCUCUUUCAGCGGGGACGAAGCGAAAGUGACGGUACCCGCAGAAGAAGCCCCGGCCAACUACGUGCCAGCAGCCGCGGUAAUACGUAGGGGGCUAGCGUUGUCCGGAUUUAUUGGGCGUAAAGAGCUCGUAGGCUGCUUCGCAAGUCGGACGUGAAGUCCCACGGCUUAACUGUGGGGGGCCGUUCGAUACUACGAGGCUAGAGGCCGGUAGGGGGACAUGGAAUUCCUGGUGUAGCGGUGAAAUGCGCAGAUAUCAGGAGGAACACCGGUGGCGAAGGCGGUGUCCUGGGCCGGGUCCUGACGCUGAGGAGCGAAAGCUGGGGGAGCAAACAGGAUUAGAUACCCUGGUAGUCC